UGGGGAAUAUUGGACAAUGGGCGAAAGCCUGAUCCAGCCAUGCCGCGUGUGUGAAGAAGGUCUUCGGAUUGUAAAGCACUUUAAGUUGGGAGGAAGGGUUGUAGAUUAAUACUCUGCAAUUUUGACGUUACCGACAGAAUAAGCACCGGCUAACUCUGUGCCAGCAGCCGCGGUAAUACAGAGGGUGCAAGCGUUAAUCGGAAUUACUGGGCGUAAAGCGCGCGUAGGUGGUUUGUUAAGUUGGAUGUGAAAUCCCCGGGCUCAACCUGGGAACUGCAUCCAAAACUGGCAAGCUAGAGUAUGGUAGAGGGUGGUGGAAUUUCCUGUGUAGCGGUGAAAUGCGUAGAUAUAGGAAGGAACACCAGUGGCGAAGGCGGCCAACUGGCUCGAUACUGACGCUGAGGUGCGAAAGCGUGGGGAGCAAACAGGAUUAGAUACCCACGUAGUCCCUGAGCGGGCUGGCAAGGCGCAU
rnacentral:rRNA from 1 species